rnacentral:lncRNA from 1 species
AACACAAAUUUGAUAAACAAUAAAGCACCAAAAGUAUACUUGUAUUUAUCUUCUUCUCUGUUUCCUUCAACACCCAAACACAGUGACAAGGAAGUUUUAAUAUUUACAACAACAAAAAAAUAGAUCCUAAAAUUACCUCAAAUUCCUAAUCUCUACUGCAUCGUAAACCCCUAAUCUAUCCCCUCCCCCUAAUUUCUUGCAGGCAAGGAAUUCUCCUGUUUGCUUAAGAGAUUCAGAUAGGAAGCUCUGUGUUGCUUAUGAAAAGGUAAAGUAAAACAUUCAGUUCCAUUUUAUUCAUUUCUUCUUAAUUGAACCAAUGCCUUCAAUUUUCUAAUCUAAAUCGUAAGAUGCUUGUGACUUGAUCCACUGCGUAGAUCAACAAUCUAUCAAUACUUGGAACUAUUGUAUUUUGUGCUCCUGAUAUAUUAUUACAUGUAAUUGCUUUGUAAUAAUCUGGAACUAUUGUAUUUUGUGCAUUUGAUGAACUACCUACAUCUGUUUGUUUGCGGUUCGGAUGGAAUACCUGCAUUUUGUUUUGUAAGAGAUAUUGUUUCUUUGUGUUUAUAUUAGUUUAGGCCUUAGGGACUUGUUUAUAUAAUACGUGUUGUUAGCAAUAACUAACGGUGGCGUAACAGAAGGAGCUAAUUAUACAAAAAAUUAAUAGCUCGUGCAUUUGAUUACAACUUUUUUUAGUUUAGGCUUUAUAGACUACUGGUAUAAUCACGCAAGUUACAACUUAACAUGCUUAUUUAAACACACUGUAUAUAACCACUCAAAUCAUUAUUGUUUUAUUCCAUUAAUCUUACAAUUGAGAAUAGACCAAGAACCAUAACUAAUGGGGGGAAUACAAGGAAACAAGGACAAAACAGAGAAAUGAGGUAUUGAAAAAACAGCUCAUGGAGACACUUGCGUGUUGAUUGUUGUACCUUGAUUUGCAUCGCAUGAAAUUCUGUCUAGCAUCAUCAGCGCUGCACUUUCAGAUUCAUCAACCCUCCCAGUAGACGUGCCAUCCACUUCAGUCAGUGCAGACAGAGAAGGUAAACGCUGAACAUUAGGCAAUUGAAGUGACGCAAAAGCACUGCUAGAACUAUCCCUGUGUGGUUCUCUCUGCAGCUGCAAAGCAUAUUCCAAGUCCCACAACACAUCAACCAUUGUUGGCCUGUCACAACCAUAAUCAUGUAAGCAUUUUUCCACAGUCUCGUUAAAUAUUCUUAGUGAGUUUUGAUUAAUUUGCGCCUUGAUGGAAGGAUCAACGAUCUCUUCAAGUAUCCCUUUGUUUUUGCAAAACAAUCCCCACUCAGCCAAAUUUAUUUGCUCACUUGGACAAGACAAUUCGAUGGCUGGUCUUGCGCACAACACCUCAAGUAGAACCACCCCAAAAGAAUAAACAUCAGAUUUUUCUGUAAGCUGUUGUGCUCUAAAGUAAUCAGGAUCAAGAUACCCAAAAGUCCCUUUAACACGUGUGCUGACAUAAGAAUGUUCAUCAAGAGGACCUGUCCUUGAAAGACCAAAAUCAGCAACUUUAGCUACAAGAUUCUCAUCAAGCAAUAUAUUAGUGGAUUUCACGUCACGGUGAAUUAUUCCACCAGCUACUCCUUUGUGAAGGUAAUGAAGACCUCUAGCAGCACCAAUGCAAAUCUCAAGCCUUUGCUUCCAAGUCAAACAAGGCAAAUUUGUAUUGUAUAAAUUCUCCCUAAGUGUACCAUUUUCCAUGUACUCAUAAACAAGUAUCAUCUCACACCUUUCAUCACAAUACCCUAUUAAGGAAACAAGGUGUUUGUGACGAAUCUUGGACAGAACCAUUAUCUCAGUUUGAAAUUCAUGUUGUCCUUGACCUGAACCCGGCACACUUCUUUUCACUGCCACAUUCAUUCCAUUCUUGAGAACUCCCUUAUAAACAUUUCCAAAACCACCCUUUCCAAUAAUCCUCUUUGUAUCAAAAUUCUCGGUGGCGAUUUGAAGGUCAAGCAAGGAGAUUUUCAUGCCAAGGUUUAUGUUAGGUAAAGGUGAGCCUUGAGUUGUUUUUCCAUAAGUUAAUUUGCUAUGAGAAAUCUCUCCUGCAGCAGUUGGAAUCGGCAACAAAUCGAAACUCCAACCACAAGAAACACAACCACCACAACCGAAACGAAAACUAAACCUCCAACCACCGAACCCACCACCACAGGAAGAUUAAUCUUUCUCAAAUCCAAACCAUCUAAGGGAAUUGGACUGGACGAUUUAAUCAUUGUCAUUAGUUCUAUCCCGUUUAAAAAUGCCUUCGGUUUAGCAACCUCAACUGACGUAUCAGGUACUACGGUAACAUUCAAUAGUCCUGAGCCAUCGGAACGAAUCACAAAAUCAUAAUAAUAAGGAUCAUGCAACAUGGACGACAAUAACUCGUCAUCAUUUAUAUUCGUAACAAGUUGGUCAUAAAUGUAGAGAAUGAAAUUUGCAAGACCACUCUGUCGACAUUAAAAAUGUCACAGAAAUGAAGCCUAAGGAAAUGAUCAAUACUCUUUUCAACAGGAACACUCCAACUUAUGUUUAAACCUUUAGAACCGCUUUUGCUCUCUUUGGCAGUUUCAUAAACAGCGUCCGGAGCAAUAUAUAUAUUUGAAUUUGGACCUUCAUAUGUAUUAUUUGCAGUGCGUUUAAUUUCAUCUGCAAAGGAACCAUUCUUAGCGUUUUGUGGAUUAGUUAUAUAACUGUCAUCUGGUAACCAUUCUCUCGAUAAAGUAUCGGUUUUUCUAUCGACAGUUCCGCUACCAACAUUAAGACCAAGGAUGGUUUCCAACGAUUGAGAGAGGAAAUCAUUACUAUAAGUAGUUAAGUUUCGAAUGGCAGAAUCAAUGUAAUUGAAACGAGCUAUUGAAUUGGGUAUUAAAUGAAGAGGGAGAAUAAAGAGUUCAAAUGCAUUAAAAAACGCAAAUGAAGAUGUUUGAGGUGUGAAAGUGAUUGUGAAUCUUUUUCUGAUGAUUUUAACGUAAUACUCUUUUACUAAAGAAGAGUUGGUGGUGUUUUCAGAGUUGAAAUUUUGUAACAGAAUGAAACCAGGGACUGAAACAUUGAAUUUUGCAGAGGAAAGGUUAGUUGGUGAAGAGAAUGAAAAGAAAUGGAAACAUACCAUGUAGGUGUUGUUUGGUAUGGUAGAAAAUUCAUAGGAAGACUCGGAAUGGAAUAUCCUUGCUGUUUGGUAGAGAGGUGAAAACACUGGUG